UGCCCGGUAGCUAAAUGCGGAAGAGAUAAGUGCUGAAAGCAUCUAAGCACGAAACUUGCCCCGAGAUGAGUUCUCCCUGACCCUUUAAGGAUCCUGAAGGAACGUUGAAGACGACGACGUUGAUAGGCCGGGUGUGUAAGCGCAGCGAUGCGUUGAGCUAACCGGUACUAAUGAACCGUGAGGCUUAACCUUACAACGCCGAAGGUGUUU
rnacentral:rRNA from 1 species